AUGAGAAAGGGGCUCUUGUGGCUCCAUCUCUAGCUGAAGAGCUACUGACAACUGGUGGCAGCUCAAAGCGGGGAGGUGGAGAGGAGACAUUUUUCUUUCAGCUUUUAAUGGAAAACAUUGUAUCAAUAUGAAUUUGAAUAUCAUCCUUUGAUUGAAGACUUUUGAGAUUACCUGACCAAAACAGAAAUUCAUGCAACCAAAAGAACCACAUACUGCUUAAGACCACUUGUCAUUGGGAUUUGAAGAAAUUACUUUUAUAAAUAAUGAAUUUUUAAAGCCA